rnacentral:rRNA from 1 species
UACGAAGGGUGCAAGCGUUAAUCGGAAUUACUGGGCGUAAAGCGUGCGUAGAUGGCCUGUUAAGUCGGAUGUGAAAUCCCCAGGCUUAACCUGGGAACUGCAUUCGAGACUGCAUAGCUAGAGUAUGGGAGAGGGAAGUGGAAUUUCAGGUGUAGCGGUGAAAUGCGUAGAUAUCUGAAGGAACAUCAGUGGCGAAAGCGACUUCCUGGACCAAUACUGACGCUCAUGUGCGAAAGCGUGGGGAGCAAACAGG